CCGUGCUAGACGGGGAGAUGGCGGUACCUUGUAACCUGCAAUCCGCCUUAGCAGGGUUUAACUCUCACUAGAGGUAUUGUCUAGGUAAGGUCAGGCCUGUACAAGUAGUGUUGAAAUCUGGGCCCUAUGCAAUAGAAAUCUAUGAACAUGGUCAGGUCCGGAAGGAAGCAGCCAUAAGUAGAACCUUCUAUGUGUUGUAGAAUAACCUAGCUGAGCUAACUAUACAUGCAGCGCUUAUUUAUUCAUAUCAACGGUGAGUGCACGG
rnacentral:SRP_RNA from 1 species